rnacentral:ribozyme from 13 species
UUUUUUUUUUUUUUUUUAUUUUUCUCACCUUUUAUUAAUCAAAGAAAAUAAAAACGAACAAGGAACUUAUUUCCCUGUUCUGACUUGAAACUUUCCAGCU